AGUGUUCUUAACACAAAAUACACGACGACAUGACAUCCGUCUUUAGGAUUCGGUGUUAAAUGUGAAUUUCAAAUGAUUACGCGUUAUACAUGGAUCGAAAAUGUUUUUAGAACAAGAAGAACAUUUUCCAAGGGAAACUCGUGCUGGAAUGUAUAUUAAUCCUAUUGGAAAAACAACGAAAAUCGUUCUAACGAAAAAAUUGAAUCAAUUUCAAAAAAACUUUUUCCGGAGAAAGGAUUGUUAAAAUUUUCGAAGAAAACGAUGAUGGACGACGAGGCAUCUAUUUUUUGGGCAUCUAUCUUGAUGGUCUGUGGUUCUGUGAUGAUGGUGAUAUUACUCACAUGCUAUAUUUGUCUCUUUCGAGAUUUGUGUUGUCCAGCCGGGGGGGAUAGCACUAAAAGAAGACGGACCAUUCGUCGUAAUACUAUGCAAGUUACUGAAGAAAACAAUCUGCAAAAAUUUGACGAAAUACCUAUGAACGAAAUAACUCAAGGUGAUAGCAGCAUGCCCACGGAAUCCGAAAAAUUUUAAAAACUGAUCUAAACUUUAUACGUGUUCUCUCUCAUUGUCAAUUCUCGUUGUUAACUUAUUGUUCAUCGACGAAGUUGAUUUUGUAUCGCUUUUAGCGGAAGAAAGGAAAAAUGAGAUAAAGAAGAAAAACAACAAUAAAAUAUUCGAAGAAGCGAAAGAAAUAACAUAAACAAAAUAACAAAAAAAAAACAUCGUCCUUCGAAAUUAUUAAUCGAACAAAACAACGACGAAUUUUUACAUUGUGCUGUGUGGACUUUAGUGUUUAUAAGAGUCUCUGAGGUAUUAAAUUUUAUUCCAAGCUGCGAUCUCAUAGAUCUUUCUUUUUUUUUUUUUAUGUAUGUAUGUACAUGCUUAGAUAUACAUCGAUAUACAUAUGUCGUGUCUAAUUGUACAUAUACACGAGAAUGUAUACGACACGCACGCGUUCGCGUGUUUGUAUUGUGUGUAUGUAUAAAUGUAUUUCAAUAAUUAUGUAAAUAUAUAUGUGUGUAUGUAUUUACGUAUGAUGUGUGAAUGUAUGUAUAUAUGUAUAUAUGCAAGUAUGUUUAUCGAAUAAUAGAAAAAUCUGAUAAAAAUAUUCAAUACGUCAUCUUUUACGCGCGACCGAUGAUAACAACGUGGGAUUUAUAUUUUUCUUUUCUUUUUUUCUGUUCUUGCACCAGAAAUCACAAAAUAGUCCUUAAUCUCUUCUAUGCUUAUCAUCGUAUAUAAAAUAUAUCUCUAUG